AACGAACGCUGGCGGCGUGCCUAACACAUGCAAGUCGAGCGCGAAAAGGGCAACCUGAGUAGAGCGGCGCACGGGUGCGUAACACGUGGGUAAUCUGCCCUCGAGACUCGGAUAACCUGCCGAAAGGCUGGCUAAUACGGGAUAAGCUCCCGGACUCUUCGGAGUCUGAGAGAAAAGGUGGCCUCUGUUUACAAGCUAUCACUCAAGGAUGAGCCCGCGGCCCAUCAGCUAGUUGGCGGGGUAAUGGCCCACCAAGGCUAAGACGGGUAGCUGGUCUGAGAGGACGAUCAGCCACACUGGAACUGAGACACGGUCCAGACUCCUACGGGAGGCAGCAGUGGGGAAUUUUGCGCAAUGGGCGAAAGCCGGACGCAGCAACGCCGCGUGUGCGAUGAAGGUCUUCGGAUUGUAAAGAACUUUCGACCGGGACGAAACCGCUCAAGUCAAACAGGCUUGGGCCUUGACGGUACCGGGAGAGGAAGCACCGGCUAACUCUGUGCCAGCCGCCGCGGUAACAC
rnacentral:rRNA from 1 species